ACUCAAAGGAAUAGACGGGGGCCCGCACAAGCAGUGGAGUAUGUGGUUUAAUUCGAAGCAACGCGAAGAACCUUACCAAGGCUUGACAUCCCGCGCAUAUCCAAGAGAUUGGAGAAGUCUUUCGGGACGCGGUGACAGGUGGUGCAUGGUUGUCGUCAGCUCGUGUCGUGAGAUGUUGGGUUAAGUCCCGCAACGAGCGCAACCCCUGUUGUUAGUUGCCAUCAUUUAGUUGGGCACUCUAGCAAGACUGCCGGUGACAAAUCGGAGGAAGGUGGGGACGACGUCAAAUCAUCAUGCCCCUUAUGUCUUGGGCUACACACGUACUACAAUGGCUAAAACAGAGGGAAGCGAAGGAGCAAUUCGGAGCGAAACCCCAAAUAUAGUCCCAGUUCGGAUUGUGGGCUGAAACCCGCCCACAUGAAGUCGGAAUUGCUAGUAAUGGCAGGUCAGCAUACUGCCGUGAAUACGUUCCCGGGCCUUGUACACACCGCCCGU
rnacentral:rRNA from 1 species